GGCGAUCAGAUACCGCCCUAGUUCUGACCGUAAACGAUGCCAACUAGCGAUCCGCCAGUCGACUCAUCGCUCUGGUGGGGAGCUUCCCGGAAACGAAAGUCUUCCGGUUCCGGGGGAAGUAUGGUUGCAAAGCUGAAACUUAAAGGAAUUGACGGAAGGGCACCACCAGGAGUGGAGCCUGCGGCUUAAUUUGACUCAACACGGGGAAACUCACCCGGCCCGGACACCGUAAGGAUUGACAGAUUGAUAGCUUUUUCAUGAUUCGGUGGAUGGUGGUGCAUGGCCGUUCUUAGUUCGUGGAGCGAUUUGUCUGGUUUAUUCCGAUAACGAGCGAGACUCUGGCCCACUAAAUAGUUGACGCAUUGCCACUGUGCGCACAACUUCUUAGAGGGAUUUUCGGUGUUUUCAACCGCACGAAAUUGAGCAAUAACAGGUCUGUGAUGCCCUUAGAUGUCCGGGGCUGCACGCGCGCUACACUGGCAAAAUCAGCGUGCUUGUCCUCCCCCGAAAGGGGUUGGUAAACCGAUGAAAAUUUGCCGUGAUUGGGAUCGGACAUUGCAAUUAUUGUCCGUGAACGAGGAAUCCCUUGUAAGGGCGAGUCAUCAACUCGUCCUGAAUACGUCCCUGCCCUUGUA
rnacentral:rRNA from 1 species